rnacentral:RNase_P_RNA from 1 species
CGUUCCGGAUAACUGCUGAUAUAAGUCAGAGGAAAGUCCAUACUCGCAUUAACUGAGAUGUUAAUAGUGUUUGUGCAAGAGGAAAAAAUAACUCUUGGCAUAGCAAUAUGACGGCUCUAAAUAACCUAAAAGCGAUCAUGGUUAGGAAGACUAAGGUGCCACAGAGACGAGUUUGUUAGAAAUAGCAAAGUGAAACGCGGUAAACCCCACAAGCGAGAAACUCAAAUUUUGGUAGGGGAAGUUAGUUAAGAGAAAUGAAUCUUGACUAGCAGGCUAAUUGCCUAGAUAAAUAGUUAUCGAUUACAGAAUAUGGCUUAUAGGA